UUUCCUUGAAAAAUAUUUUAAGCUCUACAGAAAAAAAAAAAUUAAGAAAAAAGAAUUUCGAGUUGCCAAAUCAUUUUCAUUUAUUCCAACGGCAUCCUGUAUCUUCUGCGAAAGGAGUUAUAAGAAUAGCCAAGGAAGAAAAAGGACACGUUUCGUUUUCCGUUGGCCAUUCGAUGGAACCCUAAACGUCUUGCGUAACCGGAAGCCAGUCAGCGGAUAUCGACAGACAAAGCCACGACCGUAAUGCAAAUUCCUCGAAUCGAUUCUAUGAGUUAUUUUUACGGUACUAUGAGUGUUCUUUGAGCGAUUAUAUGAUUAUUAUACAUGUAAUAAAUAUUUGUCGAUGGUUAUUAUUCGUUGUCUCGUUGAAUGGUACGAGGGCCAUCGGAAGUUGACAAUGUCGGAAUUAAUUAAGAAAUUUAAAUUAAACAUGAAAUCAAGGAUAAGUAAAUUAUUAAAUUAAACAUAUAUUUGAAAAUUGAAUAAAUCUACUUUUGUUGAA